UGGGAGGACCAUCUCCUAAGGCUAAAUACUCUCUAGUGACCGAUAGUGAACCAGUACCGUGAGGGAAAGGUGAAAAGUACCCCGGAAGGGGAGUGAAAGAGAACUUGAAACCGUGUGCUUACAAGUAGUCAGAGCCCGUUAAUGGGUGAUGGCGUGCCUUUUGUAGAAUGAACCGGCGAGUUACGAUUUGAUGCAAGGUUAAGCAGCUAAUGUGGAGCCGUAGCGAAAGCGAGUCUGAAUAGGGCGUUUAGUAUUUGGUCGUAGACCCGAAACCAGGUGAUCUACCCUUGGUCAGGUUGAAGUUCAGGUAACACUGAAUGGAGGACCGAACCGACUUACGUUGAAAAGUGAGCGGAUGAACUGAGGGUAGCGGAGAAAUUCCAAUCGAACUUGGAGAUAGCUGGUUCUCUCCGAAAUAGCUUUAGGGCUAGCCUCAAGUGAUGAUUAUUGGAGGUAGAGCACUGUUUGGACGAGGGGCCCUUCUCGGGUUACCGAAUUCAGACAAACUCCGAAUGCCAAUUAAUUUAACUUGGGAGUCAGAACAUGGGUGAUAAGGUCCGUGUUCGAAAGGGAAACAGCCCAGACCACCAGCUAAGGUCCCAAAAUAUAUGUUAAGUGGAAAAGGAUGUGGCGUUGCCCAGACAACUAGGAUGUUGGCUUAGAAGCAGCCAUCAUUUAAAGAGUGCGUAAUAGCUCACUAGUCGAGUGACACUGCGCCGAAAAUGUACCGGGGCUAAACAUAUUACCGAAGCUGUGGAUUGUCCGUAGGACAAUGGUAGGAGAGCGUUCUAAGGGCGUCGAAGCAUGAUCGCAAGGACAUGUGGAGCGCUUAGAAGUGAGAAUGCCGGUGUGAGUAGCGAAAGACGGGUGAGAAUCCCGUCCACCGAUUGACUAAGGUUUCCAGAGGAAGGCUCGUCCGCUCUGGGUUAGUCGGGUCCUAAGCUGAGGCCGACAGGCGUAGGCGAUGGAUAACAGGUUGAUAUUCCUGUACCACCUAGUAUCGUUUUAAUCGAUGGGGGGACGCAGUAGGAUAGGCGAAGCGUGCU
rnacentral:rRNA from 1 species